GGGGGUAUAGCUCAGUUGGUAGAGCACCGUCUUUGCACGGCGGCUGUCAGCGGUUCGAAUCCGCUUACCUCCA
rnacentral:tRNA from 3 species